rnacentral:rRNA from 1 species
GAUCCUGGCUCAGGAUGAACGCUAGCUACAGGCUUAACACAUGCAAGUCGAGGGGCAGCAUGGUCUUAGCUUGCUAAGGCCGAUGGCGACCGGCGCACGGGUGAGUAACACGUAUCCAACCUGCCGUCUACUCUUGGACAGCCUUCUGAAAGGAAGAUUAAUACAAGAUGGCAUCAUGAGUUCGCAUGUUCACAUGAUUAAAGAAUUUCGGUCAUCGAUGGGGA